rnacentral:tRNA from 1 species
UGCGGGGUAGUGCAAUGGUAACACGCCUGCCUUUGGAGCAGGAAUUCCAGGUUCGAGCCCUGGCCCCGCAG